AAUAGUUUUAUUAGGCUUAGACUUAAUUUUAGGUCAUUUUGGGGGUUUAGCUCAGUUGGCUAGAGCAUCGGCUUUGCAAGCCGAGGGUCAAGGGUUCGAGUCCCUUAACCUCCAUUGGGCUUAUGCCCUAAAUUGUAAUUAAGUAUGUUUUUAAGUAACUUUGUUAAAGUAAUUGUUGGAAUGUGAAACACAAGAAGUUAAAAUUUCUGGGUUAAGUUGAGAUCUGUUGAUAUUAAGAAAAAUGUCUAGAAGCAAAAGCAAGCUUUCGAUAAAACCCGAAGUUGUUUCGCUAAAGUGCAAGGAUUAAACAGGAUUGUAUUUUUCAGCAGCCUAUUUUAUAAACGAUCUGCAUUUAGUAAAUAGUUUUUAGUUAGGAAAUAAUGUAGAUUACUAAGUGUGAUGUCUGAGAGAAGGACAAGUAUUGUAGCGAGCUUAAAUCCUUAUUAUCGUUGCCAGUAUUUAGUGGUAGGGAUUCGGAUAAGAUUGCCAGUUAUAAGUUGGAGGAAGGCAAAGAUUGCAUUAAAUCGUUAUCGCUCUUAUGUUUUAGGUUACAAGUUUGCAACAAUAACUCAAAAAAGCCAAGCAAAAUACUAUAAAGCAGAUUUCAGUUUGGAUUUGCCCGACACUCAAUGGCAUGAAGUUGUAAUUGUUAGUAAUCGUGUAUACCUUAAUAUAGAAAUUGAAUAAAUUUUUGUUUUUCUUAUUAAUUAUAGCUUAAAACAGUAUUGUCGUAA
rnacentral:misc_RNA from 1 species